rnacentral:rRNA from 1 species
GCACUACGGUGCUGAAGCAACAAAUGCCCUGCUUCCAGGAAAAGCCUCUAAGCAUCAGGUAACACGAAAUCGUACCCCAAACCGACACAGGUGGUCAGGUAGAGAAUACCAAGGCGCUUGAGAGAACUCGGGUGAAGGAACUAGGCAAAAUGGUGCCGUAACUUCGGGAGAAGGCACGCUGACACGUAGGUGAAGUGAUUUACUCAUGGAGCUGAAGUCAGUCGAAGAUACCAGCUGGCUGCAACUGUUUAUUAAAAACACAGCACUGUGCAAACACGAAAGUGGACGUAUACGGUGUGACGCCUGCCCGGUGCCGGAAGGUUAAUUGAUGGGGUCAGCGCAAGCGAAGCUCCUGAUCGAAGCCCCGGUAAACGGCGGCCGUAACUAUAACGGUCCUAAGGUAGCGAAAUUCCUUGUCGGGUAAGUUCCGACCUGCACGAAUGGCGUAAUGAUGGCCAGGCUGUCUCCACCCGAGACUCAGUGAAAUUGAACUCGCUGUGAAGAUGCAGUGUACCCGCGGCAAGACGGAAAGACCCCGUGAACCUUUACUAUAGCUUGACACUGAACAUUGAGCCUUGAUGUGUAGGAUAGGUGGGAGGCUUUGAAGUGUGGACGCCAGUCUGCAUGGAGCCGACCUUGAAAUACCACCCUUUAAUGUUUGAUGUUCUAACGUGGACCCGUAAUCCGGGUUGCGGACAGUGUCUGGUGGGUAGUUUGACUGGGGCGGUCUCCUCCUAAAGAGUAACGGAGGAGCACGAAGGUUGGCUAAUCCUGGUCGGACAUCAGGAGGUUAGUGCAAUGGCAUAAGCCAGCUUGACUGCGAGCGUGACGGCGCGAGCAGGUGCGAAAGCAGGUCAUAGUGAUCCGGUGGUUCUGAAUGGAAGGGCCAUCGCUCAACGGAUAAAAGGUACUCCGGGGAUAACAGGCUGAUACCGCCCAAGAGUUCAUAUCGACGGCGGUGUUUGGCACCUCGAUGUCGGCUCAUCACAUCCUGGGGCUGAAGUAGGUCCCAAGGGUAUGGCUGUUCGCCAUUUAAAGUGGUACGCGAGCUGGGUUUAGAACGUCGUGAGACAGUUCGGUCCCUAUCUGCCGUGGGCGCUGGAGAACUGAGGGGGGCUGCUCCUAGUACGAGAGGACCGGAGUGGACGCAUCACUGGUGUUCGGGUUGUCAUGCCAAUGGCACUGCCCGGUAGCUAAAUGCGGAAGAGAUAAGUGCUGAAAGCAUCUAAGCACGAAACUUGCCCCGAGAUGAGUUCUCCCUGAGACUUAG